rnacentral:rRNA from 1 species
GGGGAAUAUUGCACAAUGGGCGAAAGCCUGAUGCAGCAACGCCGCGUGAGCGAUGAAGGCCUUCGGGUCGUAAAGCUCUGUCCUCAAGGAAGAUAAUGACGGUACUUGAGGAGAAAGCCCCGGCUAACUACGUGCCAGCAGCCGCGGUAAUACGUAGGGGGCUAGCGUUAUCCGGAAUUACUGGGCGUAAAGGGUGCGUAGGCGGUCUUUCAAGUCAGAAGUGAAAGGCUACGGCUCAACCGUAGUAAGCUUUUGAAACUGUAAGGCUUGAGUGCAGGAGAGGAGAGUGGAAUUCCUAGUGUAGCGGUGAAAUGCGUAGAUAUUAGGAGGAACACCAGUUGCGAAGGCGGCUCUCUGGACUGUAACUGACGCUGAGGCACGAAAGCGUGGGGAGCAAAC